GUGCUCGCUUCGGCAGCACAUAUACUAAAAUUGGAACGAUACAGAGAAGAUUAGAAUGUACUAUCCUAAAAUUUAGAAUCCUGAUAUUUUGAAUGCUUUU
ensembl:snRNA Gm23044 predicted gene, 23044